GGAUGUGAGGGCGAUCUGGCUGCGACAUCUGUCACCCCAUUGAUUACCAGGGUUGAUUCGGCUGAUGUGGCUGGCUAGGCGGGUAUCCCCUUCCUCCCUCACCGCUCCAUGUGCCUCCCUCCCGAAGCUUCGAGCUUGGUCGAAGAGGACGGCCUUCCUCGAAUAGAGACAGACCAGUCUUCAUUCGAGGGUAUACGAGUAGCUGCGCUCCCCUGCUAGAACCUCCAAACAAGCUCUCAAAAUUGAUGCCUAGCAAAUCUUAUUUUUUCCUUCCACUCUGCAAAGGCAAGACAGAAACAUAUUAAAAUCAUUUUUUUCAACAUCUAUGAACUAUUUCAU
ensembl:misc_RNA 7SK 7SK RNA